GUCUAGCCGUAAACAUAAGUAGUCACAAACAAGACUAUUCACCAGAGAACUACGAGCCACAGCCUAAAACUCAAAGGACUUGGCGGUGCUUCAUACCCCCCUAGAGGAGCCUGUUCUAUAAUCGAUAUACCACGAUACACCUCACCAAUUCUUGCUAAUUCAGUCUAUAUACCGCCAUCUUCAGCAAACCCUGAUUAAGGAACAAAAGUAAGCAUAAUCAUUUUCACAUAAAAACGUUAGGUCAAGGUGUAACUUAUGAAUUGGGAAGCAAUGGGCUACAUUCUUUAACUAAAAGAACAACGAAAGUUUCUAUGAAACUAGAAACCAAAGGAGGAUUUAGUAGUAAGUUAAGAUUAGAAAGCUUAACUGAAAAAGGCAAUGAAGCACGU
rnacentral:rRNA from 1 species